rnacentral:rRNA from 1 species
AACGAACGCUGGCGGCAGGCCUAACACAUGCAAGUCGAGCGAGGACUUCGGUCCUAGCGGCGGACGGGUGAGUAACGCGUGGGAACGUGCCCUUUGCUUCGGAAUAGCCCUGGGAAACUGGGAGUAAUACCGGAUGAGCCCUUUGGGGGAAAGAUUUAUCGGCGAAGGAUCGGCCCGCGUUGGAUUAGGUAGUUGGUGGGGUAAUGGCCUACCAAGCCGACGAUCCAUAGCUGGUUUGAGAGGAUGAUCAGCCACACUGGGACUGAGACACAGCCCAGACUCCUACGGGAGGCAGCAGUGGGGAAUCUUAGACAAUGGGGGAAACCCUGAUCUAGCCAUGCCGCGUGAGCGAUGAAGGCCUUAGGGUUGUAAAGCUCUUUCAGCUGGGAAGAUAAUGACGGUACCAGCAGAAGAAGCCCCGGCUAACUCCGUG